ACGAGGUUUGUGACUGAGCGGCGGACGGGUGAGUAACGCGUGGGCAACCUGCCUCACACAGGGGGAUAACAGUUAGAAAUGACUGCUAAUACCGCAUAAGCGCACAGUGCCGCAUGGCAGUGUGUGAAAAACUCCGGUGGUGUGAGAUGGAUCCGCGUCUGAUUAGGUAGUUGGUGCGGUAACGGCGCACCAAGCCGACGAUCGGUAGCCGGACUGAGAGGUUGAACGGCCACAUUGGGACUGAGACACGGUCCAGACUCC
rnacentral:rRNA from 1 species